rnacentral:rRNA from 2 species
CCUCUUGAGAGCGGCGGACGGGUGAGUAAUGCCUAGGAAUCUGCCUAGUGGUGGGGGAUAACGUUCGGAAACGGACGCUAAUACCGCAUACGUCCUACGGGAGAAAGCGGGGGAUCUUCGGACCUCGCGCCAUUAGAUGAGCCUAGGUCGGAUUAGCUAGUUGGUGAGGUAAUGGCUCACCAAGGCGACGAUCCGUAACUGGUCUGAGAGGAUGAUCAGUCACACUGGAACUGAGACACGGUCCAGACUCCUACGGGAGGCAGCAGUGGGGAAUAUUGGACAAUGGGCGAAAGCCUGAUCCAGCCAUGCCGCGUGUGUGAAGAAGGUCUUCGGAUUGAAAAGCACUUUAAGUUGAGAGGAAGGGUUGUGGAUUAAUACUCUGCAAUUUUGACGUUACCGACAGAAUAAGCACCGGCUAACUUCGUGCCAGCGGCCGCGGUAAUACGAGGGGUGCAAGCGUUAAUCGGAAUUACUGGAAGUAAAGCGCGCGUAGAUGGUUCGUUCAGUUGCAUGUGAAAGCACUGGACUCAACCUGUUAACUGCAUCCUAAACUGGCGAGCUAGAGUACGCUAGAGGGUGGCGAAAUUUCCUGUGUGGCGCUGAAAUGCGAAGAUAUAGGAAGGAACACCAGUGCCACAGGGGACCACCUGCACUGAUACUGACACUGAGG